rnacentral:tRNA from 1 species
GAAGGUAUAGCUCAGUGGUAGAGCUCAUGCUUAGCAUGCAGGAGGUCCUGGGUUCAAUCCCCGGUACCUCCA